rnacentral:misc_RNA from 1 species
UACGAAAGGUGCAAGCGUUAAUCAGAAUUAUUGGGCGUAAAGCGCGCGUAGGCGGUCUGUUAAGUCUGAUGCGAAGGCCCCCGGCUCAACCGGGGAGGGUCAUUGGAAACUGGCAGACUUGAGUGCAGAAGAGGAGAGUGGAAUUCCAUGUGUAGCGGUGAAAUGCGCAGAGAUAUGGAGGAACACCAGUGGCGAAGGCGGCUCUCUGGUCUGCAACUGACGCUGAGGUGCGAAAGCGUGGGGAUCAAACAGG